rnacentral:rRNA from 1 species
UACAGAGGUCUCAAGCGUUGUUCGGAAUCAUUGGGCGUAAAGGGUGCGUAGGCGGCGGGACAAGUCGAGUGUGAAAUUUCGAGGCUCAACCUCGAAACUGCAUACGAUACUGUCUUGCUCGAGUGCUAUAGAGGAGACUGGAAUUUACGGUGUAGCAGUGAAAUGCGUAGAUAUCAGGAAGAACACCCGUGGCUAAGGCGGCUCUCUAGUACGGUACUGACGCUGAGACGCGAAAGCGUGGGGAGCGAACAGG